rnacentral:rRNA from 1 species
GACGAACGCUGGCGGCGUGCCUAAUACAUGCAAGUCGAACGCUUCUUUCCUCCCGAGUGCUUGCACCCAAUUGGAAAGAGGAGUGGCGGACGGGUGAGUAACACGUGGGUAACCUACCCAUCAGAGGGGGAUAACACUUGGAAACAGGUGCUAAUACCGCAUAACAGUUUAUGCCGCAUGGCAUAAGAGUGAAAGGCGCUUUCGGGUGUCGCUGAUGGAUGGACCCGCGGUGCAUUAGCUAGUUGGUGAGGUAACGGCUCACCAAGGCCACGAUGCAUAGCCGACCUGAGAGGGUGAUCGGCCACACUGGGACUGAGACACGGCCCAGACUCCUACGGGAGGCAGCAGUAGGGAAUCUUCGGCAAUGGACGAAAGUCUGACCGAGCAACGCCGCGUGAGUGAAGAAGGUUUUCGGAUCGUAAAACUCUGUUGUUAGAGAAGAACAAGGACGUUAGUAACUGAACGUCCCCUGACGGUAUCUAACCAGAAAGCCACGGCUAACUACGUG